CCCAAAGAAAAUGAAAAUAACAAUUUGAAGAUAUAUGAACCCUAUGUUUAUUACAGCAUUAUUUACAAGAGCCAAGAUAUGAAGGCAACCCAAGAGUCCAUUGACAGUGAAUGACUCCCCCAAACUGAAACACACUUCGAAUUUUGGAUUUUGAUGAAAUCCUACUUGCUAUGUGACAUACAUCUGGUUUCCUAAAUGGCUGAAGGGAUCUGAUGACAUAACUUAGAAGCACAGAGAUAAGUUGAAGUGGACUAUGUUGAAACAUGUUUCCUCCUUGAAACAUUUCUGGAGAAGUCUCCUGCAUCAAGUGAACUAAGCACCCAGUGAACAAACAUCAUAUCACAUUAUGCUGCCUACACUCUGCCUAGCCUCAGUUUCCUCAUCCCUCAUCCUUAUUCCCUGGGCCUGUACCUCACAAGUAAUGUGUUAGUUCUUAAUUCUUGUAUCCAGUGUUACUAUCUAGAGGAUCUGAGGUAAGAAAAUAAUCACUUUUUAAAAUUCCAUACAAUAGAAUAUG